rnacentral:rRNA from 1 species
GCCCCAGUAACGGCGAGUGAAGCGGCAACAGCUCAAAUUUGAAAUCUGGCCUCGGCCCGAGUUGUAAUUUGCAGAGGAUGCUUCGGGCGCGGUGCCUUCCGAGUUCCCUGGAACGGGACGCCAUAGAGGGUGAGAGCCCCGUAUGGUUGGACGCCUAGCCUGUGUGAAGCUCCUUCGACGAGUCGAGUAGUUUGGGAAUGCUGCUCAAAAUGGGAGGUAUAUCUCUUCUAAAGCUAAAUACCGGCCAGAGACCGAUAGCGCACAAGUAGAGUGAUCGAAAGAUGAAAAGCACCUUGAAAAGGGGGUUAAACAGCACGUGAAAUUGUUGAAAGGGAAGGGCCCAUGACCAGACUUGUGUCCGGCGGAUCACCCAGCGUUCUCGCUGGGGCACUCCGCCGGGUCCAGGCCAGCAUCGGUUCUCGCCGGGGGAUAAAGGCUCUGGGAACGUAGCUCCUCCGGGAGUGUUAUAGCCCUCUGCGUAAUACCCUGGCGGGGACCGAGGUACGCGCUCCGCAAGGAUGCUGGCGUAAUGGUCAUCAGCCACCCGUCUUGAAACACGGAUCAAGGAGUCGUCCAUUAGAGCGAGCGUUUGGGUGUCAAACCCGCACGCGUAAUGAAAGUGAACGUAGGUGAGAGCUUCGGCGCAUCAUCGACCGAUCCUGAUGUCCUCGGAUGGAUUUGAGUAUGAGUUUUACUGGACGGACCCGAAAGAUGGUGAACUAUGCCUGUAUAGGGUGAAGCCAGAGGAAACUCUGGUGGAGGCUCGCAGCGGUUCUGACGUGCAAAUCGAUCGUCAAAUAUGGGCAUGGGGGCGAAAGACUAAUCGAACCAUCUAGUAGC